GUAAAGACUUGCUUUUGUUUUAAGCUUUGGUGUUGAACAGUUUUGGUGUAGUUUACAUUCCAGAACAGUAGGUGGCAGCAGCAGGACUUUGAUGUUCUAGUCAGCAGGAAACAAAGGAACAGGAAGUGGUUUGCUGGUAGCAGAGAAAAACGUCAGAUUUGAAUGUUUUUGAUGAAUUUAGUUUUAUUUGUGUUGUUUUUAUGAACAUAUUAUGACUAAACCGGUUUAUGGUUUUAGUCAAAUUCCACCUUUUUUCUUUGAACUCUGUGAUAAUCGUCUAAAGGAGAAUAAAUGAAUGAAACUGUGGGAUGAUCAGUUAGCUUUUGUAGUUUGAACACAGCAGUGCAUCAUGGGAGUUGUUAUUGUGACGACUAAUGUUAAAAAUGUUAGUUUCUUGUCUCCAGAUGUGUGUUUGUGUGUCACAGUGUUGAUUGUGAGUCCUGCAGUGUGUGAUUGUGUGAGUGUGAAAAGUGUAAAGACCUUAAAGCUGGACAGUGUGUGUGAGAAAGAGGUGUGUGCGAGUGAGCUGAACAACUCAUACUUACCUGGCAGGGGAGAUACCAUGAUCAUGAAGGUGGUUCACCCAGGGUGAGGCUCAGCCAUUGCACUCCGGUUGUGCUGACCCCUGCGAAUUCCCCAAAUGUGGGAAUCUCGACUGCAUAAUUUCUGGUAGUGGGGGACUGCGUUCGCGCUCUCCCCUGAUCAUAUGUUCUAAGACAAAACAAUCAAAGUAAGCUUUCAUAGGAUAAAUGUACUUGUGAUCUGUAUGUCAUCAAUCGUGAGUUAUUUGAUGCUCAUCUGCCAUUAAACUGUGUUUCAGAAUCAUGGAUUCACUGGGUCAGUUGUUCUCAUAUCUAGAGGUGUAGUUGCUGUCAGGCAAAGGUGGGCAAUUGCCUGGGGUCCCCCUAAACCGUGGCUGCCCCCCAAGCUGAAUAUUUAAAAUAAAUAUCUUAAAUAACUUCAUUUACCUAUUUUUAUCCAACUUUGUAACAAAAUAAUCCCAAAUCACUAAAAUGGUAUUAAGCUACUCAGGUGUUUUAUCCUCCCCCGGCCCUUCUGCAGCAAUGGAAUAUUCCGUAAACAGCAAGCUAGAAAACAGAGACUUUUGAAGAGAUAACCACAGAAAGCGGUCAGAUGAAGUGUUGUAACAUGAAAACAGAAAGUAAGAAAUGUGUUGCAUUUCCUACAGUGCAAGGAAGAUCAAACAGAAAGAACAGACAUAUGAAAAAACAGUUAAUGUACGAGGAUAAAGUUGUACAUUUAUAAACAAGGUCCACAUUUUCCCUAAAUAAAAUCACAAUAUUAAAAUGAAAUGGUCAAAAUUCUAGGUGAUUAAAAUUGUAAAAUUUUGAGAAGUUGUAAUUUUACAAGGAAAUUGCCGUUUUCUUUUUUCCUAUAAUAAAAUGUAACUUUUGAGUCUUGAAAUGUUUCAGCAAGACAGUCAAACAAUUCAAAGAAAUAGGAUGAACAUCACACUGAUCAACAAUCUCACUGACUCUGCUUUUACUUUUUUUGUUAAUGUGCAACGUUAUUAAAAAAAAAAAAAAUCCCACGUAAAAUUACAUCUUUUUAAUCAAAUCAAGCUAUUUAUAUAGCAUUUUUCAUACAAAAUAUAACAAAGUCCUUUACACGUAAAUAAAACAAAUAAUCUAAAAACAAGCACAACAACAAAAUGCUCCGCCACAGCUAGGUAGUGAUGCAGGUCUCCAUCUAGAGCUGGAACAGCUAGACAGCAGCCAACCCAGAGGGAGAGGAUCCAGCUGAGGGAGCACUGGAAAGUAAAAUGAAAAAGUGAAAAUAAAAUUUAAACAUUGAUAAAAUCAGUAAACAAUAAAACAUGAGCAUUAUUAUUAUUAAAAGGAAUUAUUAAUAUGUGUAAAAUCAUAAAAUAUGAUCAAAUUAAUAAAUAUAAAAUAAAUUCAGAUAAAAAAAAUAGCUAAAAGCACUGUUAAAAGAUGGGUCUUAAGGCUUUUCUUUAAAGCAACUAUGCUCUCUGCGACUCUCAGGUUCUCUGGCAGACCGUUCCAUAAACGAGGGCCAUAAUUCUGAAAAGAUGCUUCUCCGUACGUUUUGGUUUUCACAGGUAGAUCAAUUAGUAGACCAGUGCCAGAAGAUCUCAGGGUCCAUGAGGGUUCAUAUCUUAAUAAAAGAUCAGACAAAUAAGAGGGUGCAAGACCAUUAAGACAUGUAAAAACCAUUAAAAGUAUCUUAAAAACCAAUCCUAAAGCUUAUGGGGAUCAAAUGCAGGGAUUUUAGAAUUGGGGUGAUCUAGGCCCGCCUCCUGGUCUUUGUGAGAACACUGGCAGCAGAAUUCUGCUGAAGCUGAACGUUCUAGAUGCUAUUUUUUGGGGGGGGGACACCACUUAGAAGGGAAUUACUAUUGUUGAUUCUCCUGACAAUAAACUCAUGCUUCAGCGUCUCCGUGUUAGCAAGAGAGAGAAUUGGGCGGGCUCUAGCCAAAUUUCUAAGAUGAUAAAAAAUCAGUUUUGAUCACCUGCUUAAUAUGUGGGAUAAAAGUUAGCUUAAAGUCAAAAUAAAGCCCAGGUUUCUGAUUGUGAAUGAAUCAUCUAAUGACUCGCUCUUCUCCCAGGCGUGGUGUGAACAAGAAGGUUGUUCUCCUUCUGCGGGACGGAACCGGGGGCAACACCAUAGUAAGGUGUGACAGCAGGUCCAGGAACCGGGUGGGAUCGGUUCUGCUUUGGGGCACAUGUUCCACCAAGAGCAUAGAAACAUAGACAGAAAUUGUAGUCUGAUCUCCCAAUCUCUCCAAUUUUACGUUGUUGCACGUCUUCAAACAUCAAUCUUUCGAGACUUUGAAUUCGCUUGCAUACUUUUUUUUAUCUAACGGAAUUGGCCUUUCUUUUGAAAAAUGCUACCCCGCCCCCUUUUUUUUCUUUUUUCAAACUAAGCGCAUUCAUUGUUGGCCAAUCUGAUCGUUGUUAGUGAGCCUGCUAACAAGUCCUGUGGAUCAUUUUGAAUUAGCCUUUGUUAUAGCUAGUUUACGGAUUUCAUUCUUUUUCCAAUUUUAAUGUUUUCAUUGUGGAUUUUUGCUGAUCAUGUAAGUCUUCACAGCCGAUAUACGUGCAUGCACAUGCAGGUUGUGUCAGCAGGUGUUGGUAGGUACGAACAUCCAGAGCAGAGAGCCUGACGAAGUCUAAAAUGAUUUUUCACAGACAGGCACACGUUCAGCCCUCCUCCUCCAUCCAGAGAGUUACCAUCUGCUCGACUCCUGCAGCACGCCUUUGUGCUGGCAGACAGUGCUGGACCACAGGAACCAGAUCCUCUCCACCUUUGGCACUGUGUUGAACAAAAAGUUAAGAAGCGUUCUGGGGAGGCUUAAGACUCAGCCGAGUGUUGGAAUGAACUCUCCCUCAUUGUGACCUUCGUGCUGACCUGUGAGGAAUCCACGGAAAAGCUGCAGCCGAUGUGUCAAGGACUUGUGGAGAGGUUUCAGCUCCAAAGAUCCUGUACAUUGAUUGGGGGUGUUGCUGUACUCAAGGCCCCCUAGCAGUGGAGACUUUGUUCCAGCCUUGGGUUGAGAGUGGGAUGGUGGAGCGUCUGGACAUUUUUCACUGGAUCCACCGGUUUGACGCCGCCAUCUGGACGGACAGCCACUCCAAGUAUGCUGUGUUCAAGUCUGCAGUGGCUGGGCCGUUUUAGGCUAAAGGAGACCUGGAUCUGCUCUAAAGGCUGUCAGGGUUGAGGGGGAAGUCUUUAUCAGAUGAUGAUCCAGCAGCACAUUUCCAGGUUAACUCUCAGACCACAGGAAACCUUCCAGCUCAUCCAGGUGGAGAUAGAGGAGCUGAAAGGUUGAGCAGGACUGGAUGAAAGUGGAGUGAGCCUCUUCAAAACCCCAGUAAAUAGAUAGUUAGUCAAUCAGUGCAUUGAUAAAGUUUAAAGUCUUGUACCAGUAAAAACCACCGAUUCCAAAAACAAGUCCUCCAGUUUGUCAGGAGUUGAUGAAAGAGCCAAAGAGUUUCAGGAGAAUUGAAACUUUAGGAUGAACUCUGAGAAACAAACAGAUUCUCAGAGAAGCAGACGCCUAAACACACUGAGGAUCAUGAACUCAAAGGAAGACAGCUGUGGAUCUGGUGGGACUGACACUCGACCUGCAAACAGAACAUGACCAGAACCAAGAAAACAGAGUUUAAGUCCACAGUCGUUCAUUGUGACUGCCUUGUUUCUGUGGUCAUUUCUGGAUUCACAGAAGUCAUCCAUGAGGUGAGGGCGUGUCAGCAGCAGAAUCUGGGCUGCAUUCAGGAUCCACCGGACAUGUUCAGGUUACCACCAUCAACGGCGUGGACGUCCAUCAAAGGUCUCGGUGGAACAGCCACACAUGAUUCCAGGACCACACUGUGCUGCUCGUCUGCAUCAGGUCUACCUGAUGAACGCCAUUGCUCGGUGGAACUCCAACAGGACUGCAGAGGGCGGAGUCACAGGACCGACUGCUCCACUGAUCACAGGCUGUCAGCAGCUGUUUGGAGAGACUGUGGAGGAGAACUUCAGACCAGCUGCUGGGUUUGGACUUCUGCACCGGGGACUCUGGUGGGUCCUUCAGUCCAACAACAGAACUUUGCUCCACAGCUUCACUUGUUCUCUUCAUAUUUUAAAAGAGCAGAAAUGUUUAUCAACUUCAGACUUUAGAAAGAAAAUGUUUACAUUUGUUGGGUUUCAGGACGACUCUUUUAUUUCAUGUUUUUGUUCAGUUUUUAGUUAAAAUAAAGAUUUUUUAUUGUUAUUAUUCUGUGCAGAUCCAGAUCAGGAUCAUGACUAUGUUCUGCAGCCAAUCAUAAGACAUUUCAUACAAAGAUUCUAUGAAUCCACAUGAACUGAACUUAUUACAGACUGAUGUUAAAAAGCUGAUUGGAAACAAAGUUAAGACUUCCUGUUUACAGAUUCCUGAUGUUUGUGAAAUGUUUGGAUGUUUUGGACCGCCUGCCGACAGUUUCUAGAAUUUUCUUUCUGGACUCGAAAGGAGCCAAACCGUUCAGACACAAACAUCUUGUUGUGUCGUCGCUGUGUCUUAACACCAACAGGAAGUUCAGACUCCUGAUUGAAGGAGAGAGGUUCCAAACAUCCCAGAAUUCUUUGCUCUUUCUCUAGAUUCUCUGCUGUUUCUCUGAGUAAAUGUCCUGUCUGGAUCUGUGGAGUCAAAGCUGGUUUUUGAGGAGACCUUCUGACCGAGCAGAUCUUCUCAGCCGGUCAGCGCCGCCGUCUGCUGUUUGUGCAACAAUAAAAGCUGAUUGAACUCCGGAGGUUUGAUCUGAAGUCAUUGAUUUGAAUGAAUGACUGGAUGUUUCUGUCCCAUCAGUCAUGAUUGGUCCUUCAUCUGUUGAGUUUUAAAGGUUUUUCUUCUGACCAACAUCCAUCCAUUAAAUGAAUCCAUAAAAACAGGAGAACCUUCCAGCAAAAACAGCUGAUGGAGUUUGUCUACAGAGAAUCUGGAUUUUCUGUUGCCUCUGAGUUCAUACUGAGGGAUUUUUUUUUAAGUUCUGAUGCUUCUGGAUGUAAAAAAAUAACUGUAGGAAACAAACUGCAGCAGUGGUUCAUUUGGAGCGCACCGGCGUUAUUCCACCACCAGCAGGAAUUAUAGAUUUUCUUCUUAAUCUGAAACCAUUUGCUCCAGAAUUGUGAUUUAAGUCUUAAUGCGAUCUAUUACCGAUCUAUUGUAAAAGUGUUUCCAGUUAGUAAAAUGUCAUUAAAGAGCCACUCCAAUGAAAAUCA